AGUGAACGCUGGCGGCGUGCUUACCACAUGCAAGUCGAACGAGAACGGAAUAUAGCUUGCUAUAUUUGUUAGCUACGUGGCGCAAGGGUGAGUAAUGUAUAGAUAACCUGCCCUAAAGAAAGGAAUAACAGGUGGAAACGACUGCUCAUGCCCUAUAUGCCUUUAAUAAAUAAGUAUGUAAGGGACAAGCUUUAGUGCUUAAGGAUGGGUCUGUAUGGUAUCAGCUUGUUGGUGAGGUAAUGGCUCACCAAGGCUAUGACGCAUAGCUGGUUUGAGAGGAUGAUCAGUCACACUGGAACUGAGACACGGUCCAGACUCCUACGGGAGGCAGCAGUGGGGAAUAUUGCACAAUGGACGAAAGUCUGAUGCAGCAACGCCGCGUGGAGGAUGACACAUUUCGGUGCGUAAACUCCUUUUAUAUAGGAAGAUAAUGACGGUACUAUAUGAAUAAGCACCGGCUAACUCCGUGCCAGCCGCCGCGGUAA
rnacentral:rRNA from 1 species